CCUACGGGACGCAGCAGUGGGGAAUAUUGCACAAUGGGGGAAACCCUGAUGCAGCAACGCCGCGUGGGUGAAGAAGUAUUUCGGUAUGUAAAGCCCUAUCAGCAGGGAAGAGAAUGACGGUACCUGACUAAGAAGCCCCGGCUAACUACGUGCCAGCAGCCGCGGUAAUACGUAGGGGGCAAGCGUUAUCCGGAUUUACUGGGUGUAAAGGGAGCGUAGACGGUUGUGCAAGUCUGAUGUGAAAUCCACGGGCUCAACCCGUGAACUGCAUUUGAAACUGUUUCCCUUGAGUGUCGGAGAGGUAA
rnacentral:rRNA from 1 species